CCGAGUUUACAACUCCCAAACCCCUGUGAACAUACCUACUUGUUGCCUCGGCGGAUCAGCCCGCGCCCGUAAAACGGGACGGCCCGCCGCAGAGGAACCCUAAACUCUGUUUUCUAGUGGAACUUCUGAGUAUAAAAACAUAAAUAAAUCA
rnacentral:misc_RNA from 1 species